CAACACAUUGUUUCCCAGAUGUGGACGUGGACUCCUUUGGUUGCUUUGCUGGAAAUGUUGAUGAAGUCACCUUUAAAAGUUGAUUCAGAUUAGCUCUUGAAAUCAGUGACACUUGUCAUUUCGAUUAGAAGUGCUCCACAUUGGGGAUUUGGCAGUGGCAUUUGAGGAAGGCGUGAAAGACCACCACAUUAAAGUAAAAAUGCUCUAGUAAGACGGAUUUUAGUCUAGGAGCUGACUUGGAACAUCAGUUGCAACAUCAGCUGGGAUCAUGACAAUAUACAUCCACUCCAACAAAGGAUAAAUUCACAUAUUGGGAGUUGAAGACUGCCCAUAACAUGGAAAGGCAUCAAGACUCAGGAAUACAUAAAUGGACCUAUGUUGGCAGUAAAGCAGACGAUUUGACAUGAAUAAUGCUGUGGCUAGAAUCCUUGUGACCCUGCUUCAACUCCAAAGACAAACUGAAAGGAGACAACAAUUAGCGCAUGCUCACAGCCUCCAGACGGAAAAGCAACCCAAACCAAGGAGGCAGUGGAGAAUGAGGCUGCAUCAAAUCAACAGGCCUCAUUGUCAUUUUUGUCCACUGCCUGAAAUGCAGUGCAAAAGCCGAGUGAGGAUGUCUCAUGCCAUCAUUACCAAACUCCAUCUUUCGCUGCAGCAGGGCUUGUGUUCAGAAGGACUGUUGGCUAGCCCACCCAUGUGUAUUGAGGUCUUGGCCGCUUUGAAUGUUUUUGUCACUGGCUCAUUUUAAGGAGUAACUGAAGACCUGUGCAGCCAUUGGUUGCAGGAUAGCAUAGCUCUGUCCACCAUUUGCUGUUUACACUGUUUGGCAUGCAAGUAGCCCUGUUUUUAGCUUCACCAGGUUGCCACUUCAUUUUCAGGUAUGCCUGAUGUUGCUUCUGGCAUGGCCUCCUGCAUUCUUUGUUGAACCAGAGUUGAUUCCCUGGCAUCAUGGUAAUGGUUAAAUGGGAAAUAUGCUGGCCCAUGAGUUGACAAGUUGUGCUGGAGUUCAACGUUUGACAGGUUCAAAAUACAUUCAAUGUUGCCUACAAUAAAGUUUGGGCUAUGCUGUAACAUAUUGAAUAGGUUACUCAAACUAGUUCACGGAUCACUGUGGAGCUGUGCAAUACCACAAUUUGUUGAAGAAGAAUACAGAUAAAGGCUAUGGUUGGCACCAUGCUGAAAAUAACUUUUAUGCUAUACUGCUGAGAAGGCAAAUUGUAAACACUGGUUUGGUGCAUUCAGAACUCAGGGAGAAGUUCCGGAAACUAGCAGGAAGCUCAGUGUUAGAGUUAGUGUUCAGGAAAAUCCUGGGAGCUGAAGGGAUUAGAAGACGCAGUGUACCAUUACUCAUUUUUAAACGCUCACAAACAGUAAUCGUAUUGUGCAACUACGCCAGAUUAAAGCUCAGGGUACAAACCCAAGGGCAGUACAUGUUUGGUGAAGCUAGCCCUCUGUGAAAAAGCUGGCAUUAUACCUAUGAAUAGUGCUGCAGUAAAGUCUCCAUGAUCCAGAGAAGCAUCAUUAGAGGCAGAGAAGGUAAACAAUCAGAAAGGGAGCAAUUAAUGAGCUAGAUCUUGACCAAAAGUGCUUGAGAGAAUUUCAAGGUCAGGUCAUCAGAUGUGAAGAAUUGAAAUCUUAUGUGAAAUUUUAGUGAGAUUUGGUGACCCACAGUAUCACUAACAUGUAUGGAGGGUGUUGGAGGGGAUGGGUAUCGCCGGUAAGAAAUCUAAGGAAUCAGUCUUAAUCGCUGUCCCUAUUUGAUUUUUUUGGGGUAUCCAACCAUUAUUUAUCUGUUCACUGGGCCGGAAAUGUUAACUCUGUUUUCUCCUUCACAGAUGCUGUCAGACCUGCUGAGCUUUUCCAGCAACUUUGUUUUUGUUCCUGAUUUACAGCAUCCGCAGUCCUUUUGGUUUUUAUUAUUUAUCUUAGUUGCCUCAUUUUGAGUUUGGGAUGUUAGAAUUUAAGUUAUAUCUAUCAUUGUA